rnacentral:rRNA from 1 species
AUUGAACGCUGGCGGCAGGCCUAACACAUGCAAGUCGAGCGAGUGGCGGGCGGGUGAGUAAUGCAUGGGAAUCUGGCUUAUGGAGGGGGAUAAAGACGGGACACUGUCUCUCAUACCGCCUACAAUGAUCUGAGCCGAAGUGGGAUGAGGUCGGUGGAGGGGUAAGGGCAUACCAAGCCCACUAUCUCUAGCUGGGCUGAGAGGAUGACCAGCCACACCGGGACGGAGACACGGCCCGGACUCCUACGGGAGGCAGCAGUGGGGAAUAUUGCACAAUGGGGGCAACCUGACGCAGCCAUGCCGCGUGAAUGAAGAAGGCCUUCGGGUUGUAAAGUUCUUUCAGUGAAGAGGCGUUAACCACAGAAGAAGCACCGGCUAACUCCGUGCCAGCAGCCGCGGUAAUUC